UACGUAGGGUGCAAGCGUUAAUCGGAAUUACUGGGCGUAAAGCGUGCGCAGGCGGUGAUGUAAGACCGAUGUGAAAUCCUCGGGCUUAACCUGGGGACUGCAUUGGUGACUGCAUCGCUAGAGUAUGGCAGAGGGGGGUGGAAUUCCACGUGUAGCAGUGAAAUGCGUAGAGAUGUGGAGGAACACCGAUGGCGAAGGCAGCCCCCUGGGCCAAUACUGACGCUCAUGCACGAAAGCGUGGGGAGCAAACAGG
rnacentral:rRNA from 1 species